GCCCGUCUAGCUCAGUCGGUAGAGCGCAAGGCUCUUAACCUUGUGGUCGUGGGUUCGAGCCCCACACGGUGGGCG